ensembl:lncRNA
AACUGAUCAGACAUAAUUUCAUUUUGUAAUUUUAUGUACUUUAUUUUAUUUUAUGAGUUUUUUUUCCAGUUCAAUUUUAAUUGAUUUUUGAUUUCAGUUUAGUUAAAAAAAUUGCCAAUGCAAUAUUUCUAAUUUUUGUUUACAGUUUUAUAUCUAAUAUUUACAUUUAUUUCAGCUUUAUUUCAAAUAUGUAAAAUAUAUAUAUAUAUAUAUAUAAAUUAGUUAACUGAUGCAAACUUGUUUAUGGAUGGCUUGCUAAGUGCUCUCUGCAUAUUAAACUUAGGAGAAAUAAUUGUAACAUUGGGGGAAAACAUUACAGCACUUUUAAUCAUAUCAUUGCCCUGUAUAAACUGCCCUGCAACAUAUAAGAUAGAUAAUACUGGCUUUCCAGAUAAAGAUGCUAAUCUACUGAUUUAGGCCAGAAAAUUCAACAGUGUGAAAGAUUCAGACGUUCUAACUGAUCUAACAAAUCACUAACAGUUCAGAUGCUGUCCUCAAUUCCCCGCUUGUUUAUCAGAAGUUACAUUGUUCUCUCCCAGAGCUACAAAAAACUAUGCUAAUAGUUCUCCUUACAAACUGGGUCACCUUCAUCCGUCAGUAAGCGUACCUCUCAGUCACCACUUACAGAGAUCAGUACCUCUCUACACUGAGAGUGCAGGGCGGGACUGUCAGCGACAUCUGACAGAUGCAGCGUUUCGUCGCGCAGCUGCGACACGUCGCGUGGUUCUCUCCAUGUGAUCAAAGCCACGUGAUGAGUUCUGGUGUCAGGCCACAGCGUCCCGUGGUCUCUACAGUGAGACAGGAGGAGCACAGGGAGUUUUUUGUGCCUGUCAGGCUGCAGCCCGGCUGAUACUUCGGAUUGAUUCACCGUAUGAUGCGUUUGGCACUAUUGAUGUUUUAUUAAGCUUGUCGGGAAUUUCUAGGAAGCCCUGUUUGAGUGUGUGUGGAGAUGCUGAGGAAUGUUGGCUCCCAUUAGUGACAAAGACCAUCAUGAGACUGUCACAUCAGAUCAUCAGCUAAAACAGCUAAAACAUGUCCCACGUCGCUAUAGGAGGCAGCGACAGUGUCUGGAUAAUGUGGAAGGCAGUCAUUUUUGUCUGCAGGCAUGCCGAAAUGCCUUGGAGGUGGCACUGAGGACCCUUAGAGCUCAGGAAGAUGAGAAGGAGGCCAAGCAGUCACGGUUAAAGGUAAAAGUAAUCUGUCACCAGCUCUGUCAGCACUGACUUCACUUCUAACAACGUUAAAUGGGGGGGGGGGGUCUGAUCUCUGUCUGAACUUUUAACUGUAUCUGGUACGGAUACAUUUUUUCUUUUUUUUAAUCCUACGCUAUAUAUGUUUGCUUUGAGAUAUGCCAGCAAACUUGAAAAACUGACUUUUUUUUCUCACAGUGGUUAUCAGGUGAAUGUCUCGACAUUCAGUAAAUAUGUUUGCACUGCCACAUGCAUCCUGAUGAUAUCAGUAAAUUUUGCCUUUGCAUUUUUGCGUUCUGCUGUCACAUCAGGAAGGCGGCAGACAGGUACAAUAUGAUAGUGAUUUCACCCCGUGGCUCAUUUGUAAUUGGUUAAACUGCUUGUGUUACAUCUCACCCCAUGUUACAGCACUCCCCGGUUCCUGUGUGCAUAUGCAAAAGAGUUAAUGAGCCGCAAGGUCACAGUUCUGCCCUCUACAGGGCCAUUCCUCAUGUCGCCAUUACCGUUCCUCACCUUCUCUGAUUGGCUGGGAGGAUUCAUGAGGCUUGUAUUACAUUUCAUCACUGUUAAUGCACCAAGAGUUAAUGAACUUCUCUUUCUUCGCUCGCUCUAUAUCACUCAGGCCAUCCACAGUCACUCUUCUAAUCAGCAAGCACUUCUUAAUCAGCUAUGAGGUCGUCUGGAGGUGGACAAGUGAGUACCCAAUUCUUAUACACAGACGUCGGUCACGUAUGCCUUUUACAUCAAUGUACGUAAAGCACUUCACUCUUUCCUUCAGUUUCAGGUAACAAGUUAUUAUUCAGUCUGACACCACCCUCUCUUAAAGGGAUAGUUCACCCCAAAGUUAAAAGACUGUUGUCUUUUACUCUGAGUCAUGUCAUUUCAAUUCUGUAUGAUUUAUGUGGUAAGUAAUGUAUCAGUAGCUUCAUUCCUGGAUGAGAAUUGUUGCAUAAUAUGUUUUACAUCUUGAAUAAACAUGGAUUGCACAUAUCUGGUGAAUUUUAG